AUUUAGUUUAAUAGAUAGGCAAAUGAACGACGAAAACAAUUUUAUGAAGACUCAAGAUAUACUAAAUGCAGCAUUGUCAGACAAGGGAGUCGUUUUUGACGUCGCAAAUGCCUUCAACGAUGAUCCUAUUACUACAAUCGAAGGACUCGAUGACUUUUCUGGAGACGAUUUGCCAAUGGCCACAGAACACUGCUCAGAUAACUCUACAGACAAACAUAAUCUUUUCCGAGGACUGGAUAGAAUGCACAUUGAAGCUUUCCCUUUCGAGACAUGCCAAUUCGAGGAUCUAAAAGACCAAAUGGUCGAUAUUUGGAAUUCACUUGUCUUUAAAAAAGUGAUUCACCCCGGAACCGGAAAGUCCACCCCGGGAGACUCUUUCGUAGUCAGAAGUCAAUUUUAUAUUCUCAGAUUUAGUAAAAUAUCAGGCAUAUUUGGAGGGGCAGUUGGAACCUUACGAUUCCAAGAUCAAACGAGUCCG